rnacentral:lncRNA from 1 species
AUGCACUGUACACUGCACACUAUAAACUAUAUACUAUGCACUAUACAUUCUACACUGUACACUAUGCACUAUACACUAUACACUAUGCUCACUGCGCUAUGCACUAUGCACUAUACACAUGCACUAUGCACUACACACUAUGCACUAUACACUAUGCACUAUACAUUGUACACUGUAUACUAUGCAGUAUGCACUAUACACUAUGCACUACACACUAUACACUAUGCACUAUGCAUUGUACACUGUACACUAUGCACUGUACACUGUACACUAUGCACUAUACAUUAUGCGCUAUGCACUAUACACUAUGCACUGUGCACUAUACACUAUGCACUGUACACUAUACACUAUACACUACACACUAUACACCACGCACCAUACACUAUGUACUAUGCAUUGUACACUGUACACUAUACACUAUGCAGUAUGCACUAUACACCAUACACUACGCACUACACACUAUGCACUACACUAUACACUAUACACUACGCAGUACGCACUACACACUAUAUGCGCUAUACACUAUACACUACUAUACACUAUACACUAUGCACUAUACACUAUACACUGUACUAUACACUAUACACUAUGCACUAUGCACUGCACUAUGCACUAUACACUAUGCACUAUGCACUAUGCACUAUACACUAUGCACUACACACUAUACACUAUUCACGAUGCACUACACACUAUACACUAUGCACUACGCACUAUACACUAUGCACUAUACAUUGUACACUGUACACUAUGCACUAUACACUACACUACACUAUACACUAUGCACUAUACAUUAUGCACUAUACAUUGUACACUGUACACUAUGCACUAGGCACUACACACUGUAUGCACUAUACACUAUACACUAUACUGUUCCCUUAUAGAUCCAGCUCAGAAUUUAUCUGGGAUACACAACUGGGAGGAAAAGUGAUGGGUCAUAGGGUGCAUGGACUUACUUUUUUUUUUCUUUUACAGACAGGUCUUGCUCUGUUGCCCAGGCUGGAGUACAGUGACUCAAGCACGGCUUACUACAGCCUCUACCUCCUGGGCUCAAGGGAUUCUCUCCUCUAA